AUGCACGCUGGCGGCGUGCCUAAUCCAUGCAAGUCGAGCGAACGGACGAGAAGCCUGCUUCUCUGAUGUUAGCGGCGGACGGGUGAGUAACACGUGGAUAACCUACCUAUAAGACUGGGAUAACUUCGGGAAACCGGAGCUAAUACCGGAUAAUAUUUUGAACCGCAUGGUUCAAAAGUGAAAGACGGUCUUGCUGUCACUUAUAGAUGGAUCCGCGCUGCAUUAGCUAGUUGGUAAGGUAACGGCUUACCAAGGCAACGAUGCAUAGCCGACCUGAGAGGGUGAUCGGCCACACUGGAACUGAGACACGGUCCAGACUCCUACGGGAGGCAGCAGUAGGGAAUCUUCCGCAAUGGGCGAAAGCCUGACGGAGCAACGCCGCGUGAGUGAUGAAGGUCUUCGGAUCGUAAAACUCUGUUAUUAGGGAAGAACAUAUGUGUAAGUAACUGUGCACAUCUUGACGGUACCUAAUCAGAAAGCCACGGCUAACUACGUG
rnacentral:rRNA from 1 species